AACGAACGCUGGCGGCAGGCCUAACACAUGCAAGUCGAGCGAGAUCUUCGGGUCUAGCGGCGGACGGGUGAGUAACGCGUGGGAAUAUGCCCUUCUCUGCGGAAUAGCCUCGGGAAACUGAGCGUAAUACCGCAUACGCCCUUUGGGGGAAAGAUUUAUCGGAGAAGGAUUAGCCCGCGUUGGAUUAGGUAGUUGGUGGGGUAACGGCCUACCAAGCCGACGAUCCAUAGCUGGUUUGAGAGGAUGAUCAGCCACACUGGGACUGAGACACGGCCCAGACUCCUACGGGAGGCAGCAGUGGGGAAUCUCAGACAAUGGGGGCAACCCUGAUCUAGCCAUGCCGCGUGAGUGAUGAAGGCCUUAGGGUUGUAAAGCUCUUUCAGCUGGGAAGAUAAUGACGGUACCAGCAGAAGAAGCCCCGGCUAACUCCGUG
rnacentral:rRNA from 1 species